rnacentral:rRNA from 1 species
UACGUAGGGUGCAAGCGUUGCCCGGAUUUAUUGGGCGUAAAGGGCGCGUAGGCGGCUCUGCACGUUCGUUGUGAAAUCGCCCGGCUCAACUGGGCGGGGUCAGCGGAUACGGCAGAGCUUGAGCAAGCUAGGGGGCAAUGGAAUUCCCGGUGUAGUGGUGGAAUGCGUAGAUAUCGGGGAGGAACACCAGUGGCGAAGGCGGUUGCCUGGGGCUUUGCUGACGCUGAUGCGCGAAAGCGUGGGGAGCGAUCCGG